rnacentral:rRNA from 1 species
AUUGAACGCUGGCGGCAGGCCUAACACAUGCAAGUCGAGCGGAUGAGUGGAGCUUGCUCCAUGAUUCAGCGGCGGACGGGUGAGUAAUGCCUAGGAAUCUGCCUGGUAGUGGGGGACAACGUUUCGAAAGGAACGCUAAUACCGCAUACGUCCUACGGGAGAAAGUGGGGGUUCUUCGGACCUCACGCUAUCAGAUGAGCCUAGGUCGGAUUAGCUAGUUGGUGAGGUAAAGGCUCACCAAGGCGACGAUCCGUAACUGGUCUGAGAGGAUGAUCAGUCACACUGGAACUGAGACACGGUCCAGACUCCUACGGGAGGCAGCAGUGGGGAAUAUUGGACAAUGGGCGAAAGCCUGAUCCAGCCAUGCCGCGUGUGUGAAGAAGGUCUUCGGAUUGUAAAGCACUUUAAGUUGGGAGGAAGGGCAGUAAGUUAAUACCUUGCUGUUUUGACGUUACCAACAGAAUAAGCACCGGCUAACUUCGUG